ensembl:lncRNA
AGGUCUCAGAUCUGACUGUUGUUUUCUUCCUCCUCUAAAUCCUUCCUGGAGCAGAAGAAUGGGCCAGAGGAGAGGCAACUGAGAGGGAAAAGGAACCUCUUGAACAAAAGGUUAAAGAAUUACAGUCAAAGAUGGAGGGCAACAAAAGUGCCUUCUUGAAGAAAGUUAGACUCAACACGACAAAGAUGAGAGAAAGAGAAAACAUUCUGAGAAGGAUGAACGAGAGGUUUGAGAUGUUGGAGAUCUUGGGGAUGAUAAAGGAUGAGCUAGGGGAAUGCCGCAAGAAGACAGAUGCGCUCCUUUGUGAUGCAGCCAAGACCUUAGCAGAAUGCGCUAAAGGAGAGCCAUCUGAGAGGGAAAAGGAGCUUCUUGAGCAACAGUAUAAGGAGAUAAGUCAAAAGGUGGAGGACCAAAAAAAAGACUUCGAAGAAUUUGUAGGCAAAAUGAUAGAGAAAACAAGAAAAAGACUAAAGAUUUCAGCAGAAGAGUGUGCCAAGAGAGAGGCAGCUGAGAGGGAAAAGGGACUUCUUGAGCAAAAGGUUAAAGAGCUGCAGGAACAGCUGAAGGACCAAGAAAGGGUCUCUGAGAAAUUCAGAGUCAAAAAGACAGAGAAGCAAAGAGAAAGAGAAAAUACCUCAGCAGAAGUGCUGGCCCAAUGGGAGGAUUCUUUGUGGGAAAAGAAGCAAAUGGUUAAAGAAUUGCAGCAAAAGUUGGAGGAACAAGAAAGAACCUUCGAGAGAUUUAAAGUCAAACUCACAAAGGAGAUGACAGAAAGAGAUGACCUUCUGAGAAAGAUGAAUGAGAGGAUUCAGAUGCUGGAAGCUGCAGUGAAUGAUGAUAAUGACAAGGAUAAUGAGGAAAACACUGAAAAGGACUGACGUUCAUAGACACAGGAAGAUAAUGACAAAGAAAAUACUUCACGGCGUUUUAGUCUCAGUUUGGGAGAAGAUAAAACAUGUGUGGUGACUAAUUACUCAUAUUUUUUGUUUGUUUCUUUUAAAUUCUGGUAAUAUUAA